CGAGUCCCCAGAGCCGUCCGGCGGCCUCCCGUCUGCUCUGCGGAGCUCUUCCUUCAGAGUGGCUUGCGUUUUUAAAAACCAGGCUUAUUUUCGUUCCUCCCGCUCCUCCAGCACUUUUCCUGGACGUCUGGGACGUGACGGAGGCAACUCCGUAACUGGGGGUGUCGGGGAGGGGGGAGGGGAAACUGUGCCCCCCCCCCCCGGGCAAAGCUGCAUCCCACUCGGCUGGACCCUACGGUGACAGGAGAACUCUGCCGAAGGACUGGGAGGCUCUGAAGCACUUCCUUCAGCGUUUUCGAGCAGCAGCAACAUGCUGAACAAAAGGAAGCGGGACAUUGUGGGCAACUGCUAGACCGUACGGGGUACCUGGUGCAGCCGGUCCCGCCGGUCUCACUCAAGUUCAGACCAGAUUUUCCUUAAGCCUGCCCCCCCCCCCAACCUUCUCUUUCCCCGGAGCUGGGACUUCUAGCCUUGGGUUUCUCCCUUCUCAGUUUCCUCUGUUUUCCUCUUCCUCCAUCUCAGCUGUGGACUUUCCCUUAGGCUAAGGAGUCAGGUCUGGUCGCCCCCUCACUGUUCGGCCUCCUACGAAACCUCCCGCCCCAGCUGCGAAAGUCACCUGGAACACUCCAUGCUAGUGAGGUGGCGAACUCCUCCGUACCACACCAGCAUUCGAGGGACGCGGGGAACAUGGACUGGCGUGCUGUGCAGGAAGGCACCCUGAGCAGGAAGACACAGCUCCUGUGCAGUUCCUGUAUCCUGGAAAAUGCUUGCUGACAAGUUCAGGUCGGGACAGCACUCCAUUGUUUGGCAAAGGUGGUGUGGUCUUGCUGUGGAGGCCCUCCGUAGGCAAGGGGAAGGUUAUUCCCGUUCCUGCGCUCCUUCUCCAUCAGUCUCCUCCCACCCCUUCCUGUCCCAUCCCCCUAAAAAGGAAAGCUGGUUAAGCUCUGCCUUCUGAACCUGCCUAUCAGGCCUCCAGGUGUGUGGUGUGUGCACAGACCUGGGGGCAGUAUGGCCUUGACAGGGUAGUUGUGUACAUUCACUAUGAUUCGUCUUCAGCAGAUGGCAGUAAAGCGUCUUGGGAAA